GAUGAACGCUGGCGGCGUGCCUAAUACAUGCAAGUCGAGCGAACAGACGAGGAGCUUGCUCCUCUGACGUUAGCGGCGGACGGGUGAGUAACACGUGGAUAACCUACCUAUAAGACUGGGAUAACUUCGGGAAACCGGAGCUAAUACCGGAUAAUAUAUUGAACCGCAUGGUUCAAUAGUGAAAGACGGUUUUGCUGUCUCUUAUAGAUGGAUCUGCGCCGCAUUAGCUAGUUGGUAAGGUAACGGCUUACCAAGGCGACGAUGCGUAGCCGACCUGAGAGAGUGAUCGGCCGCACUGGAACUGAGACACGGUCCAGACUCCUACGGGAGGGAGCAGUAGGGAAUCUUCCGCAAUGGGCGAAAGCCUGACGGAGCAACGCCGCGUGAGUGAUGAAGGUCUUCGGAUCGUAAAACUCUGUUAUUAGGGAAGAACAAAUGUGUAAGUAACUAUGCACGUCUUGACGGUACCUAAUCAGAAAGCAACGGCUAACUACGUG
rnacentral:rRNA from 1 species